CUUUUUUCUUCUUCUUUUCUUUCUCUCCUUUCUUUUUUUUCUUUCUUUCUCCUCUCUUUCUCUUCUAUUUCAACAACCCCAAAGAGGAAGGCACCGCCGCCGUGCUCGUCCUCGACUCCUCUCCGCACUCGGUGACCGACGACUCGAAGGUGGUGGUUUUGGUGGUUACGGUGGCGGUGGUUGCGACGGUGGCGAGGGCUCUUUUGCUGCUGUUGUUUUGAUUUUGAUUUUUUUGCUUCUGUUUUUUUUUUCUUGGUUGCUAUUUGAAAAUCUCUUCUCCCUCUCAUUUUUCUUUUUAACCUUGCUCAUUUUUUGUCUUCUUUUUCUUUGUCUUUAGGUGACAAUGGAAGGAAUCAUGGCCUAGGCCAUCUGCUAGAGUAGCUGGAGAUGGGGGAGCACGCCCGACUAUUGAUUGGGGUGAUUUGACAAGUCCAGAAGGACUAAACUGUAGAGGAUGCAAAGUUUCUGGGGCAAAAGCACAAUUUGAGCAAAAAUACAGGGCCAAAAUAUAAUUUCUAAAAAUUUUAGGGGCCCGAAUGUUAUUUUAAAUUUUUUAUUUUUUCUGAUUUAUUAUUAUUAUUAAAACAUAAAAAAACAAAAAACAAAAACACUAAUGGGCUAAAUCCCAAAUAAGUCCAAAAUUAAAUUAUUUAAAACCCAAUUAUCCAACCCCCACAGGCCCAAUCAUUGGGCCUAAACAUUAGGCCCAUAUGAGGCAAGCCUAAAAAAUCGUAAUUUUAUAAAAUAAAAUAAAAUAAAAUAAAAUAAAACACGAAAUAUGGACCGGACAAAAUUCAGUGAUUACACUUAUCAUUUUAAUGUUUGGAAAUGUGUUAAUAUUGUAGUAAACAUGUAACUGUUUUCUAUGUAUUUGAAUGAUAAAUAAAUGAAUAAAGUUAA